CGGACGAAUUCAGCGUAAGCACCCGGGUGACGUGCUCCAAUCAAAGUCAAUUUUUCGCAUUGGGAUAUGUUUCCCUUUAAGCAACUAUGGCAUUUUCCACAGUAAAAAGUUGGACA
rnacentral:antisense_RNA from 1 species